AAGGGGCGUUUGGGAGCAGCGGUCUCCAAAUGGGGGAUCCCGAAAUGGCUGCUGAGGGCAGCGGCUGCCUGUGGUGGCCUCAGCACCAGCCUCAACGCCUCGAGAGGCAACGUGAGCUGUCACUUCCUACCAGCUAUGUCCUUGCUUCCACUGCCACCUACAACGGCUGCUGCAUGUCCACAAUUUGAAUUGAGCUUCCCCGUGCACACAGCAGGACAGGAGCUGCCAUCCUCUGUUUUCCAUACUGCAAUGAACUCUCAGCUGCUGGGCACAAAGCCUGUCCUUUCUGCUUGUGAGAGAGCCUCACUUAGACUGUUGUACUGCAGCCUAACUUCUGGGUACGUAUAGUAAAAGGUCUCAAAACAACAGGUGCUUCAAUGCUUCUGGGGCUUGGCUAAAGGAAUGUGACAACAACUCAUAGAAUGAUGACCUCUCUGUGCUCUCGUUGCUUUAUAGAACAAUGAAGUAAAACUGAGCAAUUGAGUUAGAGUUGUUGUUGAGCCUGAGGAGGGGUGGAGGAGAGAUGAAGUGAUUUACCGUUUGUUCUUGCUGCAUUGUUAACAUGUACACUCAGGAGGAAUAGAACUGAAAUGUCUGUGAAGAAACAACUCUCAACUCAGUCGCAAACUGUUCCUCUGUGUAGGUAUCCCAAGCCCCAUGUGGUUUCAUUACAAGGGAAGGAAAAUGUUAUCUGGGUGGUAUAAAGUCUUGUUGUGACAUGAGUUACCUGCUGUUAAACAAGAUUUUCAGAAAUUACAUACGAUGCUUAGACCUAAUAUAUAACUGUGUUUAAUAUCCCUGAUACUAUUAAACACACACCC